rnacentral:rRNA from 1 species
CCCUUAGAUGUUCGGGGCCGCACGCGCGCUACACUGAAGGACUCAGCGUGUCUCUCCCCCUAUCCCGAAAGGGAUGGGCAACCCGUUGAACCUCCUUCGUGCUAGGGAUUGGGGUUUGCAAUUAUCCCCCAUGAACGAGGAAUUCCCAGUAAGCGCGAGUCAUAAGCUCGCGUUGAUUACGUCCCUGCCCUUUGUACACACCGCCCGUCGCUACUAUCGAUUGAGCGGUUCAGUGAGCCCCUCGGAUCGGCCUCGGGCUGGCUGGCAACAGCUGGCCUGUUGGCCGAGAAGACGGUCAAACUCGAUCGCUUGGAGAAAGUAAAAGUCGUAACA